GGGCUUGUGGUUUAGUGGUAUAAUACUCCCUUAGCAUGACAUGGCGACGAUCCACCUCAUGAUGUGUGGUUGAAGCUGGUCUGUCUGACUUGGGAGUGGUCCGGGGUUCGAUUCCCCGCGAGUCCA